ACUGAAAAUAGAAUUUGUAACGACAUCUAGUAAGAAAGAAUAUAUAACAACAUCUAUUUUAAGAAAUAAUAUAUUUAUUAAAGAAAGCGAUAUGAUAUUUGGAUAUAUGUAAAUAUGUACAGAGAUCCUGAUCUGACAUUCUUGUAGUAGGGGUAAGCCUAGAUAUGAGGACAGAAAGUCUCCUAUAUUGUUCACUACAGGGCGCUGAUAUCAAGUAGUAAAAACAAUCUCAAAGUAACACUAGGUAAUAAAUGGUGAAAGUACAUAAUAAUCUUUCAAUAUAUUAUGAUCCUGUGCUGUACCGAAUUGUAAAUGGAAUAAAUAUAAACGUAGACAGUAAGUGUUCAAAUAACAAUUUAUAAUAAUAAUAGAUAAUUUUAUAAGUGACUGUAUUUGUAAAAAUUUGCCGAUUCCACUACAGUCAAUUCUGGUUAUAAUUGUGCGUUUGCGACAUGUACGUUAGUAUUGGUUGUCGUUUAUUUUCUGUUUAUAAACGAGGAUCGAGCUUAGAAGCCCGAUGCAUAGCUGACAGUCUUUUGACAAUCUAACGAAGCAGUUAUUUUGGAGACCUAGAAAGUGGAAACGACUCUAUUUCCGAAAACCUCGAUUUUAGGUGAGCUGAACUUAGAACAGGACAAGAAGAAUGAAAGUGAAAGAGGCACUGAGAGUCGAAACGUCCAGCAACAUAUAAAGGCUUGCGACAAGUUGAGCCUUUUUUAACUAAAAAAUCAAACUUUCUUACCUUUGAUUUGUGAUAAAUGAAAUUUUUAUUAACAUGUUCGUUACAUUUUCUUGAUUAAAAUUACACCAAAUACGAUACGAUUUGGAGCAUAUUUGCUUACUUUAUAAAUGAUAAUUAAAUACAUAUCAAUAAGUAAAUCUAAUUCAAAUUAUAUCGUGUUUGUUCUCAUUUUAUUCAGAAAGAUCUCAUAAAUAUAUUGGAAAAAGAUUAAUUUAGAAAAUGCCAAAAGUGAAAAGGUUUCACUUUUGAAUUAGUAUCCGCAUACAUAGACUGCCGUCCCCUCGAUUGUAGUCGAAAAGGGAUGAGAUAGCGCGGCGUGUCCUCGGUUGUAGCCGGGAUGAAGACUAUUGCACCUGGUUAUCAGUACAGAACGAGGCAUGAACAAGAUAGGCAGGACAUGGAUCCAAUGCUAAUUGCCUUCGUAGGGAGAAGUCAAGCGAAUCGCCGAAGGGUUCUACUCGAGGAGCUAUGGCAUUAUUAUUAUUACAAAUCACGGGCGAGUUUUACUUGCCUCCACGAGUCGAUUGGGUCAAUAUGUAUUCCAAUCCUCCAUACAUUAAAAUUCAGAGAAUUAAUAAGUUUUAUUCAAUAAUAAAAAUAAAAUGGAUAAAAAUCAUGGAUUACAAAAAUUACAUAGUCAUGACAUCAAAUCUUGUUUGUAGUUAGUUUAUACUUCUUUUUUUAUCAUCUUUAUGAAUGAACACACAUGCAAAACAGAUACAUCACUUAGAAAUAAUUACUCGCAGCCUAAGAACUACUGAAAUUACUAUUGAAGUGAAAUUCAGGUUUUAUAACAAAAAUAUUAUCAAGAGGAAAGUGAAUUUAAUGUUAAAUCUAAAAAGCUGUUGUGUAUAGAGAAUGUAUUAAAAUUAUUGCAUCAUUCCACUGA